UGAACAAGCGACUGCAUAAAG
rnacentral:piRNA from 1 species